CAAGUGGUGUUCUGUCAGAGCAGGGGUAUGGAGAGUCUCUACAUACCCAUGGUCAGAGAUAGGACAGAGUAAGUGUGAGACACAAUUUCCAUCCGAAACAGGUCUGGAGAUGAAAAAUCUAAAAUUGAAAGACCAGGAGGCAAUCAGUCACCAGUAUGGGCCUUGUGCUGGAACAUCAACAGGACUGACCAAG